UACGAAGGGGGCUAGCGUUGUUCGGAAUCACUGGGCGUAAAGCGCACGCAGGCGGAUCGUUAAGUCAGGGGUGAAAUCCCGAGGCUCAACCUCGGAACUGCCUUUGAUACUGGCGAUCUUUGAGUCCGGGAGAGGUGAGUGGAACUCCGAGUGUAGAGGUGAAAUUCGUAGAUAUUCGGAAGAACACCAGUGGCGAAGGCGGCUCACUGGCCCGAGACUGACGCUGAGGCGCGAAAGCGUGGGGAGCGAACAGG
rnacentral:rRNA from 1 species